rnacentral:rRNA from 1 species
UACGUAGGGUGCAAGCGUUGUCCGGAAGGAUUGGGCGGAAAGAGCUCGUAGGCGGUCUGUCGCGUCUGCUGUGAAAACUCAGGGCUUAACCCUGAGCUUGCAGUGGGUACGGGCAGACUAGAGUGCGGUAGGGGAGACUGGAAUUCCUGGUGUAGCGGUGAAAUGCGCAGAUAUCAGGAGGAACACCGGUGGCGAAGGCGGGUCUCUGGGCCGUAACUGACGCUGAGGAGCGAAAGCAUGGGGAGCGAACAGG